rnacentral:rRNA from 1 species
AGAGUUUGAUUAUGGCUCAGAACGAACGCUGGCGGCAGGCCUAACACAUGCAAGUCGAACGAGAAGCCACCUUCGGGUGGUGGACAGUGGCAGACGGGUGAGUAACGCGUGGGAACGUGCCUUUCGGUUCGGGAUAACCCAGGGAAACUUGGGCUAAUACCGGAUACGCCCUCCGGGGGAAAGAUUCAUCGCCGAAAGAUCGGCCCGCGUCGGAUUAGCUAGUUGGUAGGGUAAUGGCCUACCAAGGCGACGAUCCGUAGCUGGUCUGAGAGGAUGACCAGCCACACUGGGACUGAGACACGGCCCAGACUCCUACGGGAGGCAGCAGUGGGGAAUAUUGGACAAUGGGCGAAAAAGCCUGAUCCAGCCAUGCCGCGUGGGUGAAGAAGGCCUUAGGGUUGUAAACCCCUUUCAGCGGGGAAGAUAAUGACGGUACCCGCAGAAGAAGUCCCGGCUAACUCCGUGCCAGCCGCCGC